rnacentral:rRNA from 1 species
GGGUCAGUAGGUUGGUCGUGCCACCGGUACGUACUGGUCCCACUGAUUCCUCCUUCCUGAAGAACCGUAAUGCCAUUAAUUUGGUGUUGCGGGGAAACAGGACUGUUACCUUGAAAAAAUUAGAGUGUUUAAAGCAAGCUAACGCUUGAAUACAUUAGCAUGGAAUAAUGAAAUAGGACGAUCGAUCCUAUUUUGUUGGUUUCUAGGAUUGACGUA